AGAGUUUGAUCAUGGCUCAGAUUGAACGCUGGCGGCUGGCCUAACACAUGCAAGUCGAGCGGUAGAGAGAAGCUUGCUUCUCUUGAGAGCGGCGGACGGGUGAGUAAUGCCUAGGAAUCUGCCUGGUAGUGGGGGAUAACGUUCGGAAACGGACGCUAAUACCGCAUACGUCCUACGGGAGAAAGCAGGGGACCUUCGGGCCUUGCGCUAUCAGAUGAGCCUAGGUCGGAUUAGCUAGUUGGUGAGGUAAUGGCUCACCAAGGCGACGAUCCGUAACUGGUCUGAGAGGAUGAUCAGUCACACUGGAACUGAGACACGGUCCAGACUCCUACGGGAGGCAGCAGUGGGGAAUAUUGGACAAUGGGCGAAAGCCUGAUCCAGCCAUGCCGCGUGUGUGAAGAAGGUCUUCGGAUUGUAAAGCACUUUAAGUUGGGAGGAAGGGUUGUAGAUUAAUACUCUGCAAUUUUGACGUUACCGACAGAAUAAGCACCGGCUAACUCUGUGCCAGCAGCCGCGGUAAUACAGAGGGUGCAAGCGUUAAUCGGAAUUACUGGGCGUAAAGCGCGCGUAGGUGGUUUGUUAAGUUGGAUGUGAAAUCCCCGGGCUCAACCUGGGAACUGCAUUCAAAACUGACUGACUAGAGUAUGGUAGAGGGUGGUGGAAUUUCCUGUGUAGCGGUGAAAUGCGUAGAUAUAGGAAGGAACACCAGUGGCGAAGGCGACCACCUGGACUAAUACUGACACUGAGGUGCGAAAGCGUGGGGAGCAAACAGGAUUAGAUACCCUGGUAGUCC
rnacentral:rRNA from 1 species